AAGAGAUGUCUCUUUACUAUAUAUGCAGAGAGGGGCACCAUGGCGAAGGAAAGUUGUGCGGGGAAGAAAAAGUGGCGUCGGUGGGGCCCGCAUGCUGAGAGACCGAGUGCUGAAUCUGAAACCGCUUACCCCCAGAGAGAUGGAGCGUCAUCACACGCGUGCGCUCGGGGAGAGAGAGAGUCAGCAGGGAGAUGAGAGAUGGGAGAAAGAGAGGGUGGUUGGCCCAGGAAUAACUAGUGUACCCUCCUUGCCCUGUCAGUUGGUCCGUAAGGCCAGUCGUCACAAAGCUACUAAGUAGAAUAACAUGAUGCGUUUUUUCACUGCACUAACAUGUUAAGCAUGUUUUGUCAUACCCAUCCACAUGAUUUGCACUUGAGGUUUAGCCGUUGUUUGUUGGGAUCAGGCCGUGGAAUUGAACCAUACAGUGGCGGCAGUUACUUAUCCAAGAAAAACAUGAUAGCAUUUCUAUAUUUGAAAAAAAAGGAAAGAAAAAACAUGGCCUGCCCCGGUUUCAUGGGAAACCAGGCGCUGAGAUCAUAGCAAAACAAAAUCUUUGUUUUAAAAAGUGGCACGGACAGCAUGACAUGGGUUUGCAGAAAGAGAUCAAAGUCAGUGGAGGAGAAGAUAGAGAUGCAGCGGUCUGCAAGGGCGAUCUGGAGAUAUGGCUGUAUGCCUGUAUGGUACUGGUGAUUGGUGACCUCUCAGCAUCGACGUGCCUUUGUGGUUGGAAGGCUAACCUACCCGAUGCUGUUUGCUUCUCAAGGGAGAUAACUGCCCGUCCUGUUCGUGGCCCCAGCAUCAAAGGGGCAGCACUGCUAGUCUGCUACUGGUACUGUGGGUGACAUUUCAUCGUGCUCAAUUGAUGCAACCAGCAACAGCCUUCCCAGGCAGGCGGAAGAUGAUGUGCACAAGACGUAUGGUACUUGACAGGGCCAUUUAACAGGGCACACCUACCAGCCCCUGUCCAGGACUCAAUUCUGUGGGUCAGGUCUCUCAGGCUCCGUCCAUUGGACCAUCCAUCCAUUCCAUUGCCGGAAUGGAAAGAGGCAAAGCAAGAUACCAGAAAAGCAGCCAUGGUGGCGAUGUCAUGCAGAUGCAGAAGUGGGUGGGGAGCAGUUGGGCUUAAUUUCGCAUGGUUGCAUCCGCCAGCACACAGCUUCAGAGUUGACACACGCCAAGGGAAGCGUUUGGCCGGGCCUGAAUUUGUAAAACAGCAAGCUGAUGCGUCUCAUUUUCCUACACUUUCUUCCGGUAAGGGUACUCCCAGGGGCCAGGGUGAAGGGAAUUACACCUGGGACGAUGUGGUCUCAUGUGGAACGGUUGGCAUCCGGACAACUACUCUGAUUAUUGAUUUCUUCUCAACGGACAUUUCGUUCUGUCUGCUAGAUAUGCUUAUCAAAGAACAUCAUCUGCUGGACCAGUUCUUCACCUAAUCUAACAACAUUUGCAAACCCGAACUUAAUGCAUUGAAUGGCAGAUGUCUCACCAUUG